CUUCUCCUCUACCAUUAUUCCCUUCUUCAUCUCCUUUUCUCGGCAAAACCUGAACCACUUAUCUUUUUCUUCUCCUUUUCUUGGAAAAACCAGAGCCCAAGUUCAACUAGACCCCAAGUUCUCUUCUUCUUCUCCUUUUCUAAAAAAUCAUACCCCAAAUUCUCUUUUACUUAUGUUCUUCUUCUUGUCUUCUACCAAAAUCAGACCCUGAAUUCUAAUCGGAAACCACCCAUGACUGAUGGACUUUGGAGACUCGAGACACCGUCAACCACAUAUAACUUGAUUGUGGCUAGAACCCGCAACCCACGCCGUCUAUGAAUAGUUUGUUGCACAAUCCUCGGUGAUGUUGCAGAUUAUAGAUAUCCAACAUUAAUUUUUGUUUUGAAGACCGUAUUGAUCUCUGCAUUGCUAAUGAGAGUGGUCCAUGAAGAGGGUAAAGAUUUCCGUGAAAAAAAGGGCCUCAAAGAUAUCUAUAUAUAUGACCAAAAGCAAACCAUUCAGUGAGUGUUGAAGGGUUGAUCUAAUUUUCCAUUAGAAGCAAGUAAUUUUCCAUUGAAUACAGUAAGAACAGAUCAGUUAGUGAUCACAAUUAAAUUUUUGACAGUCUGUUCUAUCUUUUAUUUGUUUGGUUUAUUUAUGAUAACUGAGCUAACAAGGACAGUUUCAUUGAUUGAAAGUGUGUUCAAUCACUCCAAAUCUGUCAUAGAUUCGGCCUAAAAUGCCAAGUAGCAUUUGAAUUUUUAAAACAGAAUGUUAAGUUGAAAAAAGAAACACCAUGAAUUCGUAAAUAAACCUCAGAUCACUUUCAAUUAUUAUAGAAUCCCGAUUCCAUCUCCCUACUUGAAUCAUGAAGAGUAGGAGAUUUUCAAUUCAAUUUUGCUUCAUACUUUCACAAGGGAUAGUCACAACAACAAUUUGAAAGAACAUGGAGCAUAGCACAAUGUUUUUGCACAUUAGAAACAAGUGGUGCAAUAAAAUUGCAAAAGAGAGAUAGUAUUCAGUACCAUAUUUGAUAGAAGACAAUAGGACAAAAGAUUUUAAUGAAUCCAUAUAUAUGAAACAGAUAUAUAUAUAACUCCAACAGGGCUGCCGGGUACGGAUUCAUAUAUAUGAAACAGAUAUAUAUAUAUGCAAGAGUUGCAGUACCGAAACAAUCUAUACAAGUUCUAUAUAACAAACUUCCACAUGUAAUCAUCCAAAUACAACAAUACCCAUAAACACACUCAAAGGGGUCUUUCAUCAAUCAACACUGUUAAGGAUUUGACCACAUAUAUAUAUAUAUGUAUAUAUUUAUAGAGUAGCUAGCUAUAUAUAGCCACAAUCACAAAGAUAUAUGUUAUUAUUUGAUAUAUUAAUCACAAACCAGCUAAUAUGUGAAUAUUCAAAACUUGGUCAAGCUCAAAAUACAUGAAAUCCAUGACUAUACAUAUGAGACACUCAUACCCAGCUGCUAAAUGGCAAAACGCCAAGGAAGAACUCUAUAUUUAUGUAUAUAUAAAUAUAUAGAAGGAGAUACCUUAAAAAAUCAGGCGAAUGGCAGAGUGAAGGUCUAGUUGCAACAUCAAGAUAUGAUCUGGAAAAGAGGAUCAAAGACCUUUCUAUGUGAGGAGAUGUUAAAUUAGAAGAGAAAAAAAAAUUAGGGCACAAAAGUGUGUAAGAUAAGAAGAACACACCAUUAAAAUGUUGAGAGAAGUUUCAGUCAGCAGAGAACAAUUGAUUUGUGCGUGGAGAAUGUCCUCAGAGGCGGAGAGAUGGAGGAGAAGGAGCUCAGAGCUCCAUUGCUGCUUCUUCUAUUUUCGUCGAGAGGGAAAAAUGAGAAAACUGAGAACUACUUUUGAAAACAUAGAUAAGGUGUUUUCUAAAUUCUUGUCUUUUUUAACUCAGUUUUUUAAAAACUGUUCUCAAAAAACAAAGCCAAACACAUCAUUUGUUUUCCAAAAACAAUUUUCUAUUUUUUAGAACAGAAAACUGUUUCUGAGUUAAUGAGCCAAACAGGCCCUUACUUACUAUAAUUAUUGCUUUAGUUGUAUUCAGAAUCAUAUUGAUAUGCGCACACUACGCUUUAGAGUACUUUUGAUAGGAGGUAUUGCAUUACUUUCUAAUGUAUCAAUCUUGUUUGUGAAGUUUCUACCACAAAUUAAAAAUGGAGUUUGAUAUCAUUACUGAAUACUAUUCUUUAUUUGAAAAAAAAAAAAAAGUGAGUUAACUCCAUGGAAAUAAUUAUUUUUUAAUUCUUUAUAUCAAAAGAAACUUUAAAACUCAUUAUUCAUCUAUUUGGACUUUUAAUUCUAGUAUGAAUAGGUUUGCUUUGGGACUCUAUGGUUUUGGGACUCUUAAUUUUAGUCUGAAUAGGUUUGUUUUUUUGCUUAACACUAUCUAGUAUCCACUAUGAUGCUAAUAGGAUUUCCAUGAUAUCCCUCUUGAAAAUUUGGUGUCAUGGCUUUGUAAAUUGACGAUGGAGAUUGAUAAUAAGCUUAGAAGUCAAGCCAGUCAAUUCUUUUUGGGCAAAAAGGGCAGUGCUGGUGUUUCGCAGCAAAAGCCAGCAUCAGUGGCAGAAAAUUUUAGAAGAAUUACAUAAAGUUUUCGGAGUCAAGGUGGACUCCACUUUUGUGUCUGAUGAUAGAAUAAUUAUUUGGUGUCCCCGUUAAGGCUUACAACAGGAACUAAUACGUAGAAGGGAGAUUACUAUUGCAGGAGACAUGCAGGUGUUUUUUCAACCGUGGAAUUGGAAUAAUCAGGAGGCAAAUAGGAAAGUCAGCUGUUUCCAAAAUUGGAUUGGGAUCGAAGGCAUUCCUCUGAAUAUCUGGAAUAUUCACGUGUUCAAGGUCAUUGGGGCUAUUUGUGGUGGUUUAAUGGCAGUGGACAAAGGAUCGUUAGAGAUGAGAGAUAUCUCUUUUGCCCGGCUGAGACAUUUUGGAGAUUGCAAUGGCUUCAUUCCGGGUUCAAUCUCCCUGCCGUAUGAAGGAAGCAGCAUAGUUUUAAAGCUUUUCAAACUGGAUGAUCAGCCUUUUCAAUCCAAAGGUGGUGACCGGAGUUUGUGGGUUAAGAAGGUGGUUGACGACAAAGGAGUACAGACUGAGGCAAAUCAAAGAUCAAGGAGGAAAAUCUGGGUUAGAAAACAACCCAGAAUCCGGUGGCUGAGUCUGAGAUUCCGGAGCCGCUGACAGAGAUUCAGAAGGUUGUAUUUUCAGGUUUGAUGGCGCCGGUGGUAGGGGGUGCAGCGUCUGAGAUGUUGCCGGAGGUCAACCAUAACGUUUCCCUGUCGCUGGGGGAAUUUAUUUCGGAUCCGGAUUUCCAGGAGGGUGAUCACGAGAAAACAGGGAGGGUUACGCUAUCCUCAUGCUACUCCUUAAAGUCUAUUUUUAAUAGACUUUUUUCAGAUCUAUCCAUCUCAGAAAAGGAAAGAGAGGACACGUGUUUUAGUUAUUUGUUAUCUAAAUUCACAUGUCCAAAAAGGAAAUUCAAAUUUGCCCUUUAUGUUGGACAUUUGGGCUGGGCCUUGUCUUUGGAAAACAGGGCCUUCUCUUUUAAAAUUAAUUUAACCCAUGUCAGGGCUCUCUUCAUUCCAAAUGACUUGGGAGUGGGCUGCCGGCCAUGGAGGGUUUUUAAGAAUAAUAGGACCAGGCCCAUUCGAAUUAUUAGAAGCCCAAAACCUUGUGAGGCCUUCGGCAAGGGGAGAGUUUCUCUUUGGACAGAUCACUCAAUAAAGACUUUUAGCCGUGGGGUUGUUUCUCUUCAACAAUCAGAAAAGGAAGAGACUAGCCUUGAGUUUUCAACUAGAAGCCUGAAAGUGUAUCAUCGUAAGCCAAAGGAUGCUUUUCCAGUAAGAAAUUCUCUUUUAGAAGAACAGUUAGAGACAAUGAUGGAUACAGGACAAGAUUUGGCAGAGGAAGAGUUCUUUACACCGGUGGAAGAUGGUCCUUCGGAAAUUUGUAGUUCAGAGGAGGAGGAUUUAGCUUUAGACUCGGAUGUUGACAAGGAGGAUAUGGAAGAUAUCGUAGUCCAAGCUAGAAGGUUGUGGUGCGAAGAAGAGGAAGGGGUAAAUUCUGAGGCAAAACUGGAUCCUGGUUGUGAGGUAGAGGGCGUGGGUUUAGAGGCGGAAACUGCAGAAGAGGCGGAUAGCCCUCAUGAUCUUUCAAGGCUUGUUCUGGUGAUGGAAUCUUAUGGAAUUUCUCUACUACCUAGUAAUCUAGGGGAGGAAGAGAAAGGAAGCCCUUCAUCUUUGCCUAAAAAGAGUGCACGUGAACUUAAAAAACUUGAGUUUAAUGUGAAUUAUGAGAAUAGGAGAAUGUUUGGGUGUCGUAAGUUCUCAUGAAGAUUUUAUCAUGGAAUGUAAGGGGAAGUGGUAAUAAAGAGAAGCGGAGGGCGAUAAAAGAAACCAUUUGAAAGGUCAAUCCUGACCUUAUUGUGCUCCAAGAGGUGAAAAAGGAUAAAUUAGACAGAAGUUUUAUAGGUAGUAUUUGGAGAUCCAGAUUUAAAGCUUGGAUUUAUCAGCAGCCGUUGGGUAGAUCAGGCGGGACGUUAGCUGUUUGGGAUACUCGUAGUGUUUCUGUUUCGGAUUCCUUGGUUGGGGAGUUCACCAUUUCCAUUCAUAUUGAAGCUGAGGGUAAGAACCCUUGGUGGUUUACCGGUGUUUAUGGGCCAGUGGUUUAUGGUAAAAGGGAGAGUUUUUGGGAUGAGUUGGCUGGUUUACAGGUCAUUUGUGGUAGUCAUUGGUGUCUAGGGGGAGAUUUUAAUGUGGUUAGGAGAGGAGAUGAAAAACUGAAUAGCGUGACCAACACUAGAAGUAUGAAGAAUUUUGAUGCGUUGAUUAGAGAGAUGAACUUGGUGGAUCCUAAGCUCCAUAAUGGCCGUUUCACUUGGUCUAACUUCAGACAGAGGCCUAUCUGUAGUAGGCUCGAUAGAUUUUUAUUUUCGCCCUUGUGGACUGAGUUCUAUCCUUUCAUUUGUCAGGAAGUGUUGGUUCGCAUAGUCUCAGAUCAUUGUCCGAUUGUGUUGGACUCCAAUCCUCCUUCAUGGGGUCCCAGCCCUUUCAGAUUUGAUAAUCCCUGGCUUGAGCAUAAGGAUUUCAAGGUGUUUUGUUAAAAGUGGUGGAACUCGUCUAACAUGAUGAGGUGGUCGGGAUAUGGGUUCAUGGAAAAGCUUUCUUUGGUUAAAGACAAAGUUAGGGGGUGGAGUAAGGAGGUUUUUAGUUCAAGAACUUUGCUUAAACAUUCACUGGAAAGAAGGAUGUUCGAGUUGGAUAGGUUAGAGGAAGGUGGACAGUGGAAUGAUCAUCUUCUUUCGGAGCGAAGGAAGAUUAAGGAAGAAUGGCAGCAAGUUGUAUUUGAAGAGGAUAGAGGAGUUUGGUUUAAGUCAAAAUGUCAAUGGGCAAAACAAGGAGAUUCUAAUUCCAAGCUCUUUCAUAGUAUCCUAAGCGCACGUAAAGCUAGGAAUUUCAUCUCCCGAAUUGAGCAAGAGGAUGGGACUAUCCUUGACAAGGAUGUUGAUAUAGAAAAGGCAAUUGUUGAUUUUUACUCCUCGUUGUAUUCUUCGGUCCCUAGGAGGUGGAGUGGUGUCGAAGGCAUUUCUUGGGAGCCUAUUCCCUCAUUCUUGUCCUCUCUCAUUGAGAGGCCGUUCUCGGAAGAGGAAAUUCGUCGGUCAGUUUUUGAUUGUGAUGGGUCUAAGGCUCCGGGUCCCGAUGGAUUCUCUUUGGCUUUCUAUCAGGUUAAUUGGGAUACGGUUAAGAGUGAUCUCCAAGCAGUGUUCGAUGUUUUCUUUAAGGAUGGGGUUAUUCAUCGGAGGACCAAUGAAACUUACAUUUGCCUAAUUCCGAAGAAGUUGGAUAGUUGUCGGGUGUGAGAUUUUAGGCCAAUUAGUUUGGUCACUAGUCUCUAUAAGAUUAUUUCAAAGGUGUUGGCUGGUCGUCUUAGAGGGGUUCUCUCUGAUACUAUAGCUGAGACUCAAGGAGCCUUUGUAGAGGGCAGGCAAAUCUUGGAUACAGUGUUGGUGGCUAAUGAGGCAGUGGAGGAGUAUCGGAGUAAAGGCAAGAAGGGCUGGGUUUUCAAAAUUGAUUUUGCUAUGGCUUAUGAUUGUGUAGAUUGGGAUUUCCUGGGAUUCGUUCUGGAAAAGAAAUGUUUUGGUGUAGUUUGGAGAAAGUGGAUUCUGGGUUGUUUGUCUACUACAUCUUUCUCCGUGUUUUUAAAUGGGAGACCGAGGGGGAAAUUUAAAGGUUCUAGAGGUCUUCGCCAAGGUGAUUCCCUUUCACCUUUCUUGUUUACCUUGGUGGUUGAUGUUUUGGGCAAGAUGGUGGAUAAGGCCAAGAGCGUCUCGGCCUUGCGAGGUUUCAAAGUAGGGAAAGAUUUGGUGGAAGUCAGCCAUCUUCAGUUCGCAGACGACUAAGUGUACUCCCUUGCUUGGAAGCAUGAAAUGAAACUGUUCAAAAGCAUUGUUUAUAAUUUUUUUGACUCAAAAGGCAUAUAUCUAAUUUUCUCAAGUCAAAGGCGAAUCAUUUUGAAACACGCAUUAUAACAAAGAAAAGUUGAUUUUGAUUUCAAAAGCAAGGAAAACAAUUUAGGAGGUUGUAGAAGCUUUUAAGGAGUCAUGGUUCAUACACAGUUUUCGUCCGCAUCUCCUCCAUCCCAAACAAAUAUUCCAACUUCUAUAUCUAAUAUGAAAUCAGUAGUUGCUUCUUAUAGUGAAGCAAGAGUGAAGAAAAGGCUUUAUAAUAGCAAACAUGAAGCUAGGAAAGCAAAAAGAACCAAAAAGAGCUAAUUAACUAUUAAAGAACCUUGUGAAUCCCCUCCUAAGGGUAUGAAUUUCCUAAUUCAUCCGAAUAAUCGAUGUUCUUCAAAAUUUUCUUCUACAAUCAAACAUUCACAAAUUUAAGCUAUCCUCCAAAAGCUUUCACCGAAGCAAGUUAGUGAAUUUGGUAAUUCAUGUUUUGGUCAUUUCCUAAUCCUGCCAGAGUUCACAAUGCAACAUCAACUUAUCCAUAAUCUAUUGCUCAGAGAGUUGCAACAACCCAACGAACUUGAGAUUUGGGUUGGUAUAAAUGGAAUGAAGUUUCGUUUUGGGAUAAGGGAGUUUGCAUUGGUCACAAGUUUACAUUGUUUGGGAUCAACAGAUAAGAUGAAAUAUGUUACGAAGAAUGAUGGUCUUUAUUCUACAUAUUUUAAGGACCAUUUGAAGAUCAAUAAGAAAAUUCUUAAGGAAUGCUUUGAUGGGGAACGGUGGCAAAAUGAUGAGGAUGCUUUGAAGAAUUUAUUGAUGCAUUUUUUGUAGAAUUUCUUGCUUAGUUCUUAUGUUACUAAUAUUGUCCUAAGAGAAGACUUCAAGAUUAUAGAUAGUGGUGAGUUUUUUUAAUUUCCUUGUGGUAAGGAAGUUUUCAAGGGCACUAUUGAAUCUUUGAAGAAACGGGUUGUUGGAAAUAAAAGUAAAAAAGAGAGGAACAAAGAUGAAAAGAAAAAAAGACAAGUCUUAUUAUAGGUUGCUUAGGUUUCUAUAUGUAUUUCAAGUAUGGUUUUUUUAGUGUUUCCCAUACUAGAAUGGAAGAUAUUGUCAUCUUUCUCAUGGAUCAAUCACAUGCAUUAACAAAUGGUCAAGCAAAACUCAGUCUUCAUUCUCAGAGGUGAUCGAUGUGUUGUCUUUUGAAUGUUGCGGAGUUGAAAUUGAGGAAUCUAUAUCCUACUUUUGAGGAGAGAAAUUUUCAGAAAUGAAGACUUUGUUUCCAAAAGAAAAAGAUGCUCUUGAGGUUGACAGUGAUGUUCUUGAAAAUGCUAGAGUUGCUUAUG